rnacentral:lncRNA from 1 species
UUACCAAGAACGAUCCAAGCGACCUUCCCAACAAGAGUGUCCCAGGCGAACAGAGCGUCACUGGCAGCCAGAGGCACAGCUGGAAGAACACGGCUUCCAGAUUGUCAAAGCACCCUACUGGUGGAGAAAGAUUGGAACACAUUCAAGAGAAGAUUCAAAACACCACCAACCGGGCCAGGAAGAACGAAGGAAGAAGUACAGGGAGCACGUCAAAGGCAAAUGCCUUAAUUGCUAUUCCACACAGCACAGAGUAGCACAC